rnacentral:rRNA from 1 species
GAUGAACGCUGGCGGCGUGCCUAAUACAUGCAAGUCGAGCGAACAGAUGAGGAGCUUGCUCCUCUGACGUUAGCGGCGGACGGGUGAGUAACAUGUGGAUAACCUACCUAUAAGACUGGGAUAACUUCGGGAAACCGGAGCUAAUACCGGAUAAUAUAUUGAACCGCAUGGUUCAAUAGUGAAAGACGGUUUUGCUGUCACUUAUAGAUGGAUCCGCGCCGCAUUAGCUAGUUGGUAAGGUAACGGCUUACCAAGGCAACGAUGCGUAGCCGACCUGAGAGGGUGAUCGGCCACACUGGAACUGAGACACGGUCCAGACUCCUACGGGAGGCAGCAGUAAGGAAUCUUCCGCAAUGGGCGAAAGCCUGACGGAGCAACGCCGCGUGAGUGAUGAAGGUCUUCGGAUCGUAAAACUCUGUUAUUAGGGAAGAACAAAUGUGUAAGUAACUAUGCACGUCUUGACGGUACCUAAUCAGAAAGCCACGGCUAACUACGUG